AUGGGGUGCUUUUGGAGUACAAGGGAAUCCCAAAGCCAUUCCUUCCCUUCUGCUACACGUCAUUUACUCGUUAUUUGUAGAGUUUUCCCCUGUAAAAAGGAAGUUCACAUUUCCCUUUUGAAAAUGCACUUACUCAGUAAGAUGGAGUCAGGUUACUUUUUUUUAAUUUUUUGCUCUUACCACAAUGUCACUGCACAAUAGAACAGGAAAGGGAAGUGUAACACCUUAUUUUGCAAUGCUGAGAACAUGAGGAGGUGUGCAACUGUGUAUUAUUCUCUGCAUCAUCUGUAUGCAACUUUUUUUUUUUUGUUUACAACUGCUUUUUGUUGCUGUUCAAGCAAAGAAGGAAAUUGGAAAAGAGAACUAAGACAUCAAAAUGCACCAAAAAUUAGUUUCACGUGGAAGAAAGGGAUAUAAAAGUGGCCUAGACAAAAUUAAGGAGAAUUUCUGAACUAGAAACAAGGGUGUCAAGCUCAUGUUGUUGAAGACAAGCAUGUAAGAGCUCAGACAUGUUUCUUCAUUCGCAGUGAAUUAAAGUGAAACUGAGACUGCUGAGAACACGAACUCUUUAAUUUGGUAUGCAUUUCCUUAGCUGUAAGUUGUUACAAGUGCUAUCCCAAGUGGAUUGUGGCUGUUACCAGGCAGCAGAGACCAAAAUUGUAGAUGCAAACAAAAAUUCCUCUGGCCUCAUGACAUGGGAAGGGGGAUCUGCCCAUCAGGCCGAGCUUUGCUUUGACUGGUAAUUCUUGCCUAAACUAAUUGGUGCGUGGCACUGUUUUAGCCUUGUGUGAUAAGCAAGAAAACGUUGUGCUAGUAAAUCUUACAGCUAAAUCUUUUUGGAUGAGGCGUCGGUGGGGCCUGUGAGGGCUGGAAGUGUUUUUUAAACCACUCUGCUCUUGAUAUGAGGUCCUCGGGCUCCUUACAGCCAUUAGGGUCGGAGGAGACCUCCGAGAUCCCCUGCUCCACCACCACUAUCACCCACUGACCGUGUCCCCAAGCACCACGUCCAGCCUCUCCUUCAACACCCCUGUGCCACCUCAGGGAUGCCACCUCCCUCUACCUUCCUUCCAGAGGAAUAAAAACAAAAACAAAACAACAAAAAAACAAACACCAGGCGCUAUGGCCGCAGCCCGGGGGCGGUGCUGCUGAGGCAGGUGCCUCCCUCCGCGGCCACGGCGGGGCCGCUGCCACGUCAGGGGAGUUUCCCGGGGCCGGGCUCUGCCUUCCUCCUCCUCCUCCUCCUCCUCCCGUCCCUCCUUCUCCUCCUCCUCCUCCUCCUCCUCGUCGCUCGUCCCCCGCUGCCGGCGCCGCGCUGCCCGCCGCCAUGGAGGGCCGCUACAACCUCAAGAACCCCGGAUUCCGCAAUGGAUUAGUCAAUGUAUACGGCCUGCUACCGUAUGGCCGAUAAACCUCUCCCAGCAGUAUUAAAGCUCGGCUGACCACAGCACAGACUUCAUGCUCGCCAUGCUUCAGGAACAGCCCUGUUGCUGAAAUUUAUAAGACACCUACUUGGAAUAAGCGCUUGGCUUUUUUCAAACGCUGUGACCCUCAGGCUGCCACGAGGCAGACCCCAAAUCUUGUAGUCAUGCUUUUGUAGCAACAGGAUUCCUCGGCCUCCUCUUUCACGUGGGAUGUUACCAGGCGUCUUAGCAGGUAUUAGCACUGAGGUGUGUGAGGAAUUAUGAACAGCUACUCACAUAGAGCCUACAAAGAACAGAGAUAUUUUGUUUUCAGUGUGUUUUUAUUUGUUUUUAGCAGACUUCUUUAUCUCAAGGCUGCCUGGUGGGGCUGCGGAGAGCAAAUGGAGCGUACGUACGUCCUGCGUUUGCCCAGGGACAGUGCCUGUGCAUCCCGGGCAUGCAGGGAACACAGCGUGCCUAGAUUGUGAUCCUCUUAGCCAUCAUCUGUAUUAUGCUUGCUGCAGGGUAAAUAAAUGCUUUUCCUAUGAACUGUACUUUUCUCUC
rnacentral:lncRNA from 1 species